rnacentral:lncRNA from 1 species
UAUGUAAGAUGUCGUAAGUAGGGGUGUCAACGAGCCGAACAUGAGCGAGCUGAGGCCUGCUCGUGUAUUAAUGGUGAACACGAGCCAAAAUACGAGCUGACUCAUGAACAAUAAAUUAAAAGAAUUAUGAAAGAUACGUAUAAAAAAUAAAUUUAUGAGAUCUUACCCAUUUGACUUUGAUCUAAUAGUUGAAAAUUUAUAUAUAAAUGACUUUUUUUAUAAUUGAGUUGGAUUUUAUAUUUAGGUUAAGCUAAAAACUAAUUUUAUCAAAUUAUAUAUAUAUAUAUAUAUAUAUAUAAAUAUAUAAUAUGUAUUUGAAUUGUUAUCGAGCAGAACAUGAGCAAGCUGACCUCAGCUCGUUUACUAAACGAGCUGAAAAAUUUAGCUCGUGUUCAGCUUGUUUAUUAAAUGAGCAAUUCGAUCUCGAGCUCAUUUUGAGCCGAACACGAGCUAGCUCGCGAACAACGAGCUGGAUUGCCACCCCUAGUCAUAGGACAAUGACUUCGGCUUUCAAGGUUUAUUUGUUUCUGUAGGAUCUAAGCGCAUAUAAUGCCCUUUUCAACUUUUUUCAACUUGGCGGUGUUCAGUAUAGAUAAUCUUCUCCAUAAGAUGCUGGAUUAGAAUUUGAAAUUUGAUUUAAAUUCAUCAUCCAAUAUUGUAUAGCUGUUGAGCCUCCAUGGUUGGAUUGAUUACCAAGCUAUUCUCUAUUCUAAAAAGAAAAGAAAUUUUGGGCAAAUCUAUAUAGGUCGCCGUGAUUUACAAUUUUGAUCAGACAAGAAUCAUAACUGCCUCUAUUUAUUGUAUAGUAGUUGAGCCUCCAUUUAUUCUAUAGCAAUCUACUAGAAAUGAGGGGUGUGCAUAAAGUCCCAUGGUGCUUUUAAUUUCUUUUGCCUUCAAUAUUAAACUACGAAAAUUGCAAGGAAAUUCAUAUCUAUUUGAAUCCAGCCAAGUAUUAAUUUUCUCUAAUUAAUUGUGUAACUUUAAAUUUAUUGCAGUUAAACUCCUUGGCAGUAGACCAAGAAUUUUACAAUCUUCGCAAGGAGUGCGAGGAGAAGGAUGCGACCAUAAAGGAACUCUCUGCUGCUGCUCAGGUGUCCAGUAUUGCCGCCUCUAAGGUGCUGUAUUUUAUUAUAUUCUUAUUUCAGAAAAUCCUAAAUUCCUAACCUUUAUAUUAAUAUUACCUGAUUCUACGAAUAGAGAAUAGCAGAAUUACAGGAGAUUGUAAAAAGGAAAAACAUGAUAAUCUCCAAAUUGAAGAAGGACAUGAUGUUUCUAGAGCAGAAGGUAAAUAUUACUUAAUUCUAAAGGUUUUGAGACCUUGCGGGUUUGUAUUUAUCUUUUCUUGUAGUCUUGUCACUUUCUUGCUGAAACUAUUGAGGUUACUCAUGUAGGUUGUUGUGUUAACAAGGAUGAAAAGAGCUUCUUCAGUAGCUUCAAAAUCAAACAAUACUCCGCUUCCGGUAAUGGCAAGCAAUAUUCUGUACGAUAUGAGUAGUACUAGUCCUUCCUCUUCAGACUCCGAGUCUCCUAAAGCUCCAAUGGAACGUAUUACUGAAGCAUCAGUUGAUUAUAAUACUCCUAAACAAGAAGUUUAUGCUGCAAUAGGAAGUCAGAGGCAACCAAUAGGAAAAACUCUUGUUUCAUCAUGCAAAUCUUCUGAUAGGAACCUAAAGCAGCGAUCUGUUAGUCCUCUUCAAGAGAACCAGUUGAUUGAAAAAGCUGAAACAACACCAUUGAUGAGGCAGAGGAAGUCAGCUUCUUCUGGUGGAGAUUACAAGAGAACCAAGAGGAGCAUUCAACAGGAAGCAAAGAGCACAGCUCAGAGGCGAUGGGUUUAGGUAGUUUUAACUGGGCAGUGGGUACUUCUCCUUUAGUUGGUUAUUUCUGUCGACUUUCUUAUGCAUGUAUUUUUAGUUCUUUUACUCAUAUAAGACCAUGUGAUACCUCUUUCUAACUGUCUCAUAGAAUUUAAGCAAGUAUACCUUCAAAUCACAUUCACAGAUAAAAAACACUCUACUUGUUGCUGUUUUUGCGUUUAGGAGAUUCAUGACACAUUAUGUUCCUUGACUUUGUCUGCCCGCUAUCUUAUUUGUAGUCUACUAGUCUACUUAAAUUUCCAGUGCUAGUCUGGUAGUUUGAUAGGUCCAAACUAUAUCAGCAAAAUUACCAGAUCUUGCUAUGUAUUUCUUUGGCUCAUACUGAAGGAAUUCAUCCGCCAUGAUAAUACGUACUCAUAUGUUAUGCCUAGUUCUUUCAUUUAAUUCAAGUUGAACUCUAGGAAAAUGCUGUUUGCCUAGCUUAAAAUUGCAUAGUACUAUUUUUACUGUUUACUAUUAUCCAAACGCUUUAGUAGACUUAUUCACAUUCAUUUGUUAGAUGAUCAUCCUCGAUAAACAUCAUGUUUGUAAAGAAAGACAAUUACGAAUACUCUUUUUCUUCUUCCUUUACUAGAAGAUGCUAUCCUUCUUUCUUUUACAUUAUUUGAUUAUUAGUCUUUGUUUCUUUUCACUAUCUACCUACUCCAGAUACAAGAUGAUCACUGGUAAUCAACAUUUUGGCUAUUUCUUCAGGAAAAUUAGCUGAAAGAGUGGACUUCUAAUAUGGAAAUUAGUUGCUUGCAUUGCAAUUUUGAUCUCUGCCUGAAGAUUAUGAUACAGAGUAACAUUUUGUGGUGCAUUUUACGUUGCUUUCAGUGACAGGUAUUCAUCUAUGUAUCAAAAGUAAAGAAUGGCUAAGAGGUAUUUUGGACAAGUUUUUUAGAGAAAGCAACCAAUUAUAGUAAUUUAUGCGCUUCUGUUUAUACAAUCACUUUUCACUGGAUAUUUCCUAAGAAUGUAGUAUCUUUGUUGGAAGCUCAAUCCUAACAGAGAGUGCAGAAAAUUGUGAAACAUAGUGAUACUAAGUUAAUGAUUUGCUGUUCUGUUUUAUCAUUUUUGAAAUGAUUAUUCUCUCAAGAUACAUCUUGUUUUUGUAAUGACGCCUCAGUAAGGUGGCAAGUUUCAAAAUAUUCGUCUUUGAUAUUCAUAUUCUUAUUUCAUCAACUAUAUAUUUAACAAAUUAUAUCUAGACCUUACAAGAAUUAUCAUUACUGUAUCUUCACUCUUAGUAAUGGUUAAUUUAGUUACUACUCAUACUCAUGUUGAUUGGCUGGCCAGAGUUGUAUAGCCUGAAAUGUUUGUCUUAAGAUGCUCAUAAUAACAAGUUUAGUUUCCUGUACAUAAAGCCAACUCUAUUUUACUCUUAUGCUGAUUAAUGAUGUUUUAAGAAUGUAUUCUUUUUUCACCCUUGAAGAUAUUUGCUUUCUAUGGCCAAAUGGAUGAAUUUUCUAUGAACUGAUUGAUUAUUCUAUUUCUUCAUCGUGUGCUUAAUCUUGCGUCUGACGCCUAGGACCAUUAAUUUUCUCCAUAAAACUGGAAAGUAGCUCUAUUCUCAGGCAUAGUUUUGGAGCUGAAGCGGACUUUUUUCUUUUUUUUUGCCUGCUUAGUGCAUUGAAACUUUACAUGUUUAUUAGUUCUUACAAAGUAAUUUUGACUUUUUUUUAAGUUGAUGUGGUGCACGAAACACUGGGUAGCUGCAUGAUGAUAUUCUUUUGCACCUGUGAGUAACAUCUUGACAACUGGGGAUAGGUUCUGAAUUCGGAGGUCCCUUUGAUCAAGUGGCAUUACCCUUAAUUAUAUUUUUAGUAUUAUUUCACAGUUGCACUAAAUAAGUAGAUAGCUGUAGCAAUUGUAUAAAGAAGUCAUUUAGCUGCUUAGAUGCUCCCUUGUCAGCUACUCAGCUGUUUGCAGGUGUUCUUUUCUUUUCCUUUUUUUUUUUUGGUUCCAAAAGUUUCUGACUUUUGUUCUUUCAUCGAGAAACUUUCCUUUGUAUUGUAUUACUACCACAUCUCUUUUAGAAUUAUGGCUAGCAACAUGAAAGGUGUGUUGACUAAUCACCUGUUGCAGCAUUGCAGUUGGCUUUUAAUUAAUUAAUCAAUUAAUCAAUCAAUUUUGGAGGCUGUGUCUUUGGAUCCUCCAAUGCGUAUCCAAUAAAGGAUUCUUCUAAUUUCAAGAAAAAAACAAAUGAUCACAAGGUGUCAUUCGCUUUUAUACUCUCUGCAUAUAUACCACUUGUUUGUCUCUUCUACGGCUAUCGAUCUACUGUUGUACUAUACAAAUCAAAUGCAUUAUUAUGGCACAACGUGCAUGGUAAUGCGUCAACAGCCAUUUAGAGAGCCUUUGAAAGUAUCCUUAUAUGAUUAUUUUAUGAUUGCUAACGGUUUGGCUACGUUGGCACUUUAAUACAUCGUUAUGUUGUUCAAAGGAUUGUUUAGGAUAUUCUUUAUUGUGCUUGCUAUGCACUGAUUACUUGAACAGUUCAAAGAACACUAUAUUUACCGCUUACAGGAUGUUUACAUGCUUAUGCACAUAAUACAUGCUUAAUGUAGGUAUUUUUGAUAGAUUUAUAUAUACAGUAUAAGCCGUCAUAAGAAUUUUCUGACACAUCAAUAGGGGAUCGGGAAUCUGAAUUUCGUUCUCACUCCCCUGUAAAUGGACUGCUGCAAAUAGCUUGCUGUACCCUCCAUUUUUAUUUCCAUCGCUCGCAAUAUGCAAAAGCUUUUCCUCGAAUAGGAAUUUGCCACGUCCGUCUCUCUCUGUGCAUAAUCUCGUCCGAGUGGGCCCCACCACUCGGGAGGUGGGGCAUCGAACGUCAUUGGUCCCUGGGGCUGGGUCUCUCCGUUACGGGACGGUCUGGCGUUGUUGACUCCCAACCCCCGUUUUCUACUUCCGCUGUUCCCCUUUUUUUUCGCAUUUUAAAAACCCCGACUGUUGACUAUACAGUACACACACACACACAUGUUGCACAAAUCAUUCGUUCAAGUGCAAAACGUUACAUCUAGAAAUUUUAUAGUAGUUCCAAUAAAAUAUGUCAAGAUCAUGCAAGUGGGGGAUCGGAUCCUACGGCUAAAAAGCGCCCCGCAGAGUACUCGCAGUCGCAGUGUGGGGGUACAUUCCCCCGUCCCCGUUCCCCCGUGGCGUCUCCACCAAAAUACUCGGGUCUCCACUCUCCGAACCGCGUUCUACUGUUAUUAUGUCCUCCGAUCCGACGGUCCAUACUGAAUCACCGGAUUAGCUAUUACUCUCCCCCAACCAAGCAGCGGACUCCUCCAAAGGUCUCCGCCCUCGAGAAGAGAAGAGAUCGACGGUCCAGAUACGCCGAGCCUGAGCUCCUCCUGAUUCCCCCGGUGCGUAAUUGGGCGUACCCUUCCGCGGAAGGGACCCACCUUCUCUUUUUCUUUUUUUAUCAUCUUUUAUUUAUUUUUUUUAAAAAUUCACCUUUGACGAAUUCCUAUUGGCUAGGAGUAUAUAUGAUUGAAUUAUUAAUUAAAACCUAUUAAUCCUUCCUCUCCUCUUCAUCUUCUUCGUUGGGGGGCCUUUAUUAGAAUUAGAGUCAGAGACUCAGAGUAGGGUUAAGGUUAGGGUCUCAACGUUCGCCUCUCUCUCUCUCUCUCAUAUGCUUCUCUCGCACAACGGCGCGCGCGCGCACAGCACACACACACUUUCCUCUCUCUUUGUCGUCGUCGUCGUCGUCGUCGUCGUCUAGCAUCACAAAUCAUCAUUGGAGAAUAGAUAGUGUCGGUGCGCGAAUUAAUGGAGGCGGCGCAUUCGUGUGGAAGGGGAAGGUGGUGGCGAAUAGAGUGCGUGGGGGAGGGUCGAAGCGGAGGAUGGGGCCGGGGGGGAGGAAUGCUGCGGUCACGGGGAUCGCUGUGAGGAGAUCAAGAUCGGGCUGCGCGCGGCGUGCGGGCUGCCGUUCAAGGGCGGGACGCCGGGUGCAGAAGCUGCUGUCACGGCGCCUCAAGCGCGGCCGCACACCUCCAUGCGACUGCGCGUCCGCCCGCGGCCUUCGAGCCGCAUCCGUCUGCGCCGAGCUGCAGGCCUGCAUCGUCCCCCACGACCCCGCCGCCAAGCGCCGCUACGUCCUCCGCUCCAUCCACGACCCCAACUACGCCGUCCGCUUCGCCGACCGCUCCGAGACCGACUGCAUCGCCUUGCAGGGUAUAUAUCAUCUAAAGAUUUUCGAUAUUUACACGAAGAAAUAUGCUAUUUAUGAGAAUAAUAGUAAUUUUCUAUAGCAUCAAAUAUUUAAUGGUAUCGAUAGUAUUAUAAUCAUAUUCUCUCUCUCCAUCUCUCUCUCUAUAUAUAUACUAUUGUGGUAUUUUUACAUCAAUAAUAAUUUUCUCCAAAAUGUUAUUAUGAAUUUGAAAUUACUUAUCAAUAGAAGACAAGUGGAGUCAGAUAAAAUAAGAUGCGAUCCAAGUGGCCGGGUGUACGUCACUAAUUCAUUUUUAUACGUACUAGCUCUUCAUUCUAUAGACAAUGAGUAAUGAAUCACCUUGUUAAUUAGUAAGAUACAUUCUUAGAUAAUGGACCUUAAUGUUUAUUUUAGAUUUAGAUGAUAGAAAUGCAUUAAUUGCUAUAUCCUAUAAGUUUCUUACCCAAUGGUGUGAAUACCUGUGUGAACAAUUUGGUACAUCCUAGCCUCCUUUUCUGAUAUUGGCUGGCCGACAAUGAAUAGCUCAGAUUCCAUCACUCCUUUUCUGAUAGCUUUUUUUUGUCGAAAUGUAGUGCAAAAUUGGCUUUAUGUGAUUGACAAAACAAACAAAAUAUGUUGUAGCUUGGUGACAAUUAAUGCAUCAAGAUUUAAAGUGCAGUGGUACGGGGACAUACUACUGUUUGCCUUAUACGAUACGGCAUCGGCAGGCUUUCGUGUCAACACAUGAUACGCUUGCGUGCUGAUAAAUACACAUGAUUUUUUACUAGCACGCUUUGUCACAGAUUUAUUUCAAUUUUUUUUUUUUUGUUUCAAUAAGUUCUUAUAAUAUUAUUUUAAAAAAUUUAAUCAAAUAAUUAUAAAUAUUUGUUAUAUAUAGUUUAUUAUAUUUAUCAAUUAAUAUUCUUGUAGACUUUUUUGUAUGAAAAGUAUAAAUAUACCUAAUGCAAAAUAAAAAUUUUUAUAUGUUAGAAUUUUUAAAAUGUAAAAAUAUUUUCCUUUCUUCCUUUUGAUUAUAUUAUAGUCUUUCUUUUAUAAAAUAAAAAAAAUAUAUUUAAAAAAAUAUUUAUUAAUUUUUUAAAAAUUAUUAGAUUUAUCAAAAAAAAUAAGCAAUAAAUUAUAUAAUAGAUAAAUUAAAUAAAUUUAAAUAUCAAUUAAUUUAAUUUAGUUUUUAAUUUUAUCAGUAUUUUUAAUUUUUUUAGCGCAAAAAUAAAAUUUAAUAUUUAAUGUGCCGCAAAAUUUAUUUAUUGACUUUAAUUUUGUUCUCUUAAUUCGUCAAAAGUUAAGCGGUGUAAUAAAUUUUGAAAAAAUAGUUUGUGAAGAAAAAAUAAAUGUCUGUGGUAUAAGGGAAGGGCUUGAGUCAUAGGUUUCUUAUGGUAUGGAUCAGAUAUGUAAAUUGAAAAUUUGAUCGUGUAUUGAUAAACAAAAAUUAAAUUAUAAUUUUUUAUCUAAUANAAAAAAAAAAAAAAAAAAAAAAAAAAGGCAAAAAAGGAAAAAAAAAAAAUGCUAGCACGGUCGUGAGAUUUCUAGGUGGGUGCCACGACACAAUGGGAAGUGGGGACCCACCCGUGUACCAUGCCUCCCAAGAUGGGGGCAUAGUACGUGCCGCCCUCUGCCAUACGGUACGGGACAGCACUUUAAACCUUACAAUACAUAUUAUAUUUAUAAAAUUUUAAAAAUUUAAUGAAUUAAUAUAUUUUAUGGCUAUAAUUAAGUUUAGGGCUAAGAAGAUAUCAGUAUUUAAACCUUGUAAUUUUGACUUAGCAUAUCACAAGUUUAGAAACAUUUUUCUUCGGAAAAUACUGUUUAUAAAUUCAAAGGUAAAGUGUAUAUUUUACAUUGCAAUAAUUCUUUUGAAUUUUUAUUUUUGAAAAAUAAGAUUAUGAUAAGACUAGUGUGAUAAUAUUGAUCUUUAGAUUAAUACAGUAAUAUUUACACACGCUUUUGGAUGCAGUAUUGAUAGAAAUGCUUUUUUAUAUUGAAAUGCUAUUGAUAGAAAUGCUUUUUUAUAUUGAAAUGCUUUUGGAUGCAGUAUUUACACACGCUUUUAGAUUAAUAAGAUUGAAAUGCUUUUUUAUAUUGCUUCUCAGAUAAAUAAUUAUUUUGUCAAACUCUAAAAAGCCUCCAUUGGACAUUUAUUGUCCUUUUCUUUAGAAUUUUAUUAAAAAAAAUUAUUGUGGGUGAUUUUUUUUUCCUUUUUUAUUCCUGUCAUCAUUAGCUAACUUGCAACAUAACUCAACCGUCAAAAAAAAAAGAGGGAAAAAUCAAAUUAUCAUCAAUAAUUUGUUGAGGCCUAAAGUCAUUUUUAUCACUUCUAAAUUAAUUACUGACAGAAGACAAACAAUUUAAUUACCCCAAUAAUUUUCAGUAAGAAGGGAAAGUGCAAUUAUAUAUGUAGCUCUUAUUAUUACAUGACGAGUAGAUCUAAUAACGUGCGAUAUAUAAUACAUCAAUAUGUGCGAUAAUUCUUGGACUGUUGCUUGCUAUAGUGGAUGAACAUGUCUUUUGAGUAGAUCACAAACAAUGAAGUAAAUAAAUAUCCAUUGUCUAUUGCUGUAGUGUGGAUUAGUUAUGCUUCUUAAUUUCAUAUCCUUUUCGGUUUGCCCAGUGCUCCAAGCAUCUAUACACCGGCGAACAGUUUAGUUUAAUUUGCCUUGACCAAUUGCCGCAGCGACUUUGUUUGUUCACUCCGCGGAGCCUCCACUCGGUUGACUUACUGAUCAGUUGACUUCACGAGCCCUCAUGAAACAUAUGUAUUCUUGUUUUAAGUGUGACACCCUCUGACCGACCGUUCCUAGAAUAAGUGGCAAAGAACUUUGUACUUGAUAUCCGAGAUUUCAAGUUCGAAUUCUAAUUAAUUCAUAUUUUCAGCUAAGUUUAUUUUUAAAUAAAUAAAAUAAACGAAUUAGGUAGCGUGUUAUUUAUUUCUAAAAAAAAGAAAAAAAAAAAAGCGUGACACCCUCUGGAACGCAUUUUUAGUCCUUUUAGAUUAUAUUUUUGACAAUAAAAGGUGAAAAUGAUGCUAAGUAAAUACAUUGUACACUGAAACCACAAUUGGAGGAUCACAUCAUCAAGCAUUGUCUUUUCUGUGUGUUUAUUCGUUUACGUGAAGGGUCGAGGAGCUCGCAGGUGGCGUGCGCGCUGAGCCGGGCGCAGCUGCAGGACGGGUACGUGGCGUACCCGUGGGAGAGGAAGAUGAGGGAGGCGCUGCAGACGGCGGCGCGGCCGAGCUCCAGCAGGUUCCUCUCGGCGCUCAUCCUCCCCCGGGCGCUCGACCCCGCCGCCUCGCGCUACAGCUCCCUCGACGACACCCUCGCCCGCGCCGACGCCUGGCUCCGCUCUGCCCAGGCCUCCGGCGUCCCCAUCGUCUUCACCAACGUCCAAACCGAAGCCCUCCUGACCAAGGUAGGUUCCUACGAACUAAUACAUGUGUAUGUCCUAGUUCUAUAAUUCGCAUUAUAUCCACAAAUCGGAUGCUUAUACGUUGACCUUCCGCCCCCCCCUGCAUGCAUGAUCUACUUGUGCAGAUAUCAGGGGAGACGGCCUCCGCGACGGUAAACUCGGGAUCGUUGGCCGACCUCUCCAACCUCGCGAAUGCCAGCCUGUACGGCUUCGAGGACUACCACGGCGUCGACAUCGGAGUCGUGAAGGCCGUUCGGCUCUGGUACGCCCCUGCCGCCGGAGAACUGGCGGUGGAGAUUAGGCUUCGGAGCGGCGACACAAAGCUGGGCUUCGCCAUCGGCCGCACCGAAGAGGUCCGUCCCCCUAGUUCUAUCUAGCUAGUUUGUCUUGGAUUGAAAUCAAACUUUAGAGACUGAUUAAGUUGCUACACUUGUGGCCGACAAUAUAUCAACUUUCAAACACUACCUACCUGCCAUCUACUGAUUGAUAACCCCGUAGUGAUUAGUGAUGCUUAAAUCUUAUCAUCGGGAACGAAGCUCGAACCAUUCUGUUUUUUCUUUUCUGUGUUUUCUUCACAGGGUUUUAUCUACAUAUCUUCUGUGACCGAUGAUGACGGCCAAGACGGCGGCGAGGUCCCCUCAAUGCGAUCGGGGCUCAGAGAUCGCUACAACGAAGCGAGGCGCGCGUCGAAGCUCCUCGUGAUUUCGCGGGUGUCUGGCGAGAAGGUGCUCCCCUGGAUGGUAUCGUCGUCGGGAGCCGUCCGCUGCUUCGACACCAUCUCCCUCAGCCAGAAGCUCUCAUUGCACCGCCACGCCCUGUGCCCCAUCCUCCUCCACCUGCUCGCGUGGGAAAAGCCCGUCGUCAGCAGGGUGGUGGCACGGGCCCUGUCGGUGCAGCCGCCGCCGUCGGAGCUACCACUGAGCUUAGUCCCCACACCUGCUGCUGCCGAGUCUCAGCUAGGGUUGUUAGACACCGCAGCGUGGGAAAAGCCCGUCGUCAGCAGGGUGGUGGCACGUGCCCUGUCGGUGCAGCCGCCGCUGUCAGAGCUGCCACUGAGCUUAGUCCCCACACCUGCUGCUGCCGAGUCUCAGCUAGAGUUGUUAGACACCGCAGGGAACGUGUCCUUCAGAUUUCAUGAUAACUCCCCGCCAAAUAGUAGCUGGGUCUAAAGGAACAGGGACUUUUCUGUAGUUGUACAUUUUCAAUGUACAUGUGUGUUAAAGCGAGCUUCUGUUUUUAAUACCUAGCUUAAUUUAAUUACUCCUUGUUUUUUAUGUUUACAGGACAUACACAUAUAUCAUCACUAAAGUGAAUUAAUUGUAAAUUGAAUGUCUUAUGCAGGUGCUGGAAUGACCUAGUUAGCCGAGUUACAGAACUAGUGAUGAGCUAUUAUUAUAUGUGAAUACCAUAUUAUUCUCUUUACCAAUGCUCUGUUACCGAAAUUAAGCAAAAGUGAAAAAAAGCCCAUGUGCUAUUCCAGGAAACUUCAGAUUUUCUACCUGACGAGUUGAGGGAGAAUGCAGUAUCAGGACAUUACAGAAACUUAUCAACAAAUUUCUUAUCAAAAUUUCGCUAUCAAAUCUUCUAAUGCUUCAUCCCAAGAUUGAACGCCGCCGCGCUGACCAUACCAUGCCGUUCCGACAGAGUAUCUGCACUAUAUGAUCUCAGUACCCAUAACACGGCUCAGACUAACACCCUGACACACAUGAACAAUAUCCAAAUCAAACAAGGAAGCAACUAUGAAAGGAUAACUAAUUAGACAAACAAGCCUGUAAAUUGUACAAGAGCCUCCUCUAGCCGAUGAUAUGUUACAACUUUGGCACACGAAGAGCAACAAGGUAUUCUGUAUCAUUUACCAUAUUGUCCUCACUCUACAAGACUAUAACACUCCAAUUGGUUACAAAUGCUAGUCAGCUGAAGUACCACACUUUCCAGUUUCUGAACAUACGAAAGAACAGCACAAAUGUUAAAUUCUUUUUCCCUCACAACUAUACCCAAUAGAAAAAGAAACAAGGGGGGAAAAAAUUACAGCAUGGGGAUCAAACACAGAUUAGAGGCCGCUAGAUGUGGUGGUGAUGAAGUCAAUGGAUGCGAGUUACUAAGCCAUGGAAUGGUACCUGCAGAGAACCCUGCAUCUAAGCACCCUAUCAUGGACAUAAAAUCCGGGCAUUACCAUGAUCUUUACUUGAUCGGGGGCCCGCGCUCUGUCCCUACUAUCUAAGAGAAUGUUCUCCAUAUAGAUAGGGUCGAAUUGUCGAUCCUCGUCAACCCGCAAUAUCACCAAGGGCGGGUUGAAUGAAAAGGCCAGCAAAUGGAGCAACCAAAUACAUUUAGCCGCUACAAAGAAGCACUGGAGAAGCUGCUCCGGCCAAGGCCGACACCAAUUUAGAGCGGAAACAAUGCAAUUCAUCUUUUGAUCACAGAACCUACUGAAGUCCUCACUGUAAAACUUUGUCCCCUUUUGUAAUACUUCAUUCCAACUCAAAUUCCUAAGUGCGACGAAAGCCGAGAAUUUCUCUUGGCGAUCUUUCUUGGGGUCCAAAAAUUUUGGGGAGCCAUUUGUCUGGAAAGUGCAGUUUUCAAAGUCCUGAUAGAGAGAUUGGUUUAUGAGAGCUUCCAAAUGAUACAAUACGCCCUUCGAGUACUUGUUGCUCGGCGUAAUCUGAUGUGGAUGGAUAAGCAAAUUUAGCUUCUCUAGCAGAUCGCAGUCGGCUUCUUCGAUCUGGUGGAUAAGUGCUUUGCAAAGGUGCUUCACGGAAAGCCUAGCUUCUGAGACUAUCUGCAAGAAGCCCUCGACCAUCACUUCACGGCUCACGGGCAUGGAAUUGUCAAUGCUGCCGCCUAUGGACUUUGUUCUCCUCGAAAUGUAGGGCUUAUCCGGAAGCUGGGUGCUAUUAUUAUUUGCAUGAACUGCUUGUUUCAGAGCCUUCUUUAGUUCUUUACAGUGCGAUUCCAAGCUCACUAGCUUGUCUGUUAAUUCUCCCAGUGAAGAUUUCAUCUCUGUGACCUCUCUAAGAGCAGCAUCCCUAUUCUCAUUGGCCUCAAGCAACUCUUUCUUUAAGGAUUCAAUCGAAAAAACUCCCCAUUCCUUCAAAAGCUGGGACAUGUUCUCGGACUCUGCAGCACUUGGUGAAGUAUUUGGUUUCGGUUUCUUCUUUGAUUUAGGGAACAACCAAGAAAGGAUCGGCCCCUUGUGCUUUGCAUUUGACUGCGUGGAUGGCUGAACAUUGGGGAAAAAUGUCACUUUUGUAUUGUUGUCCUUGAGGUUCUUGUAAUCGCUCUCUGGUCCCCUACUGAUUGUGGCCGGCUUGCACGUAUUGCAUGUCGUGACUGGUUUAAAGUCACCUGAAUUGGUCCUCCUACUAGAAGACCUUACGAUGCUAUUACUAUCAGCCGAAGGAGCAGUUUGCAAGGGGACAGUGUGGUUUAUGCAUGAGGUUCUGUUUGACAAGGGCUCACUUGGAAAACAAAUCUGCGACUCACUAAAAUUACUUGCAUUUUUGAAAUCCGAGGAAACUGAUUCGUCAUCUCCACCUUCUCCUUCCAACCCAAUACCACUCCAAAUUUCCGAUAAGCUGUGGUUCUCUGGACGGAUGUAGUUUAAUGCAGGUAAGGGUUCCUCUUCAUAACUCUGUCGAAUAUACCAACAGAACCAGAAGGAAAAUAAGAGAAAAAAAGGAAUGAAAAUUUGUCACUAUGAACAAUUCAAUGUAGAUUAUUAGUUUAUAUUUCGGCAGAUGCAUCUCUAAUCAACAUGGAUCUGUAACAAGCCCUGUAUCUAUUUUAGGAUUCUGAAACUCUAUUUUACACAUUACUUAAAAAAUAAAAACAGAAAGAAAAACAAAAAAAGCUUGCAUCACAUGAAUCAAGGAGGAGCGGCAUGCUGACCGUUAGAAGCAAAGAAUGCUGAAUGAAGAGUGCAUGUUUACUUCUAAUUUUGGCGGACAAAGCUACAAAACAAGUCGACAGUUCUAAACCAUUCAAUUCGUGUCAAUAUCCCAUCGAUAUCAUUUUUUCUUGAAUCGAGGUACAAAUGUAUAAAAUGUUUCUUCUCAAGAAGUUCCAAGUAAAGCAUGAAAGCAGGAUUAAUUAAAAGUCAUGCAAAACUAAAAGGGUUUUCUACCUUAGCCGAUAAGUGUUCUCCCCUAGAAAAUAUUAACACAGGUAGAAUGAAUCCCAAGAGAAGCAAAAGGUGAGAGGGCUAGUCACGACUAUCGGACCUUACAAUUUUGGUUUUUCUCACUGUUAUUUUACAUAAAUACGAUUGAUGUUGGAUCCGCCGAGUUCAUGAAGAACCUCCACAAAUAAGAUCAGCCCAAAGUAGCAUGUAAACAUGCAGCACCCUGACAAAUUUAGGGCGCCGCGCGGCGCCGACACAUAUAGCAUCAAAUAGCAAACCUAGAACAUUCAACUGCAUAAUGAACGAAGGAGAAAAUGAAAAAAGAAGCUAAAACGCCAAAAAUUCAAUGGAGAGAAAACUUGCCCCAGAAAUGUAAAUCCCAGGUUUAGUUACUCCUAGAAGUAAGGUUUUUUUUUUUUUUUUUCUUUUUUAUUUCUUUUUUAUCAAAAUAAUAAUUACAGAGAAGUCCUAAACUGACAAAUUACAAACAGAGAGAAAAUUCCCAAAAACGAUUGCGUAGUAAUAAGCGGAAGGAAGGUAAAUUGACCUCACAAUUCCACCACAAACCCACCAUAAAUCGCAAAACCCAGCAAUAAAACGGAGAAAUCCCCAACAAGUUGCCACCUUUACCAGAGAAACGCAAUCCCCCGACCCCAAAAGCCAAAACCCAGAAGCGAAUUAUAGAAUGGCGGGGUUAAAAUAAAAUAUAUGUAAAAAAAAGAAAAGAAAAAGUCAAAGAGCUCACCGGGGUGAAGACCGGGUACUCCUCGGCGGAGAACUGGUUGGGAACCCUAGAGAGCGAGGGGGAAGCCCCGUUCGGGAGCCGCAGAAGCGCGGGGCUAGAAGCGCUCCCGUGGAGAAGCGCGGCGUGGAGGGCCCUGAGCUCCACGGCUUUGGCAAUGGCGGCUCGGAUGUCCUGGCGCUGAACCCCAGACGCAGAACCCGUCGAAGAAGCCAUUGCUGCAGAGAGAUGUGGGAAUCCGAUGACGGAGGUUGAGCUCUCGAGAGAGAUUGGUGCUAGUACUAGUGGUGGUGGUAAUGGUAAUGGUAAUGGUCAUAUCCAGAGAGAGAGAGAGAGAGAGAGAGGGAGGGAGGGAGCGUGUGUGUUGGGAUUCUGGAAAUCUAUGAAGCGUUCGGGGGGUAAAAACUAAAAAGGGUGAGUGGAAUGAUUUGUUUAUUUAUUUAUUUAUUCAUUCAGGGAAGGAGAAGCGCACUUGUGUAGCUUUUUAAGUGCUCUGUAAAAGCAUUGAGCAGAGCAUUCGAAACUACAGGUGGGCACACCACUCAUAAUAGUGAACCACCUUUUCCUUUAUGCUCUUGCCCCCCCGCCCCCCUGUACUCAUUUAAGAAUACGAAAUUUGUGACACAAAAUUUGGGUAAAAUUUUAUGCUUGAAUUCGGUUUUUCUUUUUAUUUUUCUGAGAGUACGAGUACGAGAGGGUCCAGUGAUGAGGUUGCAUAUCAAUGGCACAGUAACUUAUUGGGUUCUUCUUGCUGGGAAAAGAGAAGCGUCUUAUCAAUGCAUGACAUGUGAGAAGAGAAAAGGACAAUUGGUAAAGAGCGAAGGGAAUCUUCUUCUUCUUCUUCUUCUUCUUCUUCAAGAUGAGAAGGAACCAACUUUUUCUUUUUCUCUUCUUUAAGCAGCUUUAGUUUAGUCUUCUAAUUUUAUUAGCUAAACUAAGCAUUAGGUGGGGAGUAAUGUUCUAAUAACUUUGUUGACAAAAACAAGCAUUAAAUGUUUGGGACCAAAGGGUAAAGGCAAGAGUAGGUUUGAUCUUUGGUUACAUCACAUUCACAUUAUUGCUGCGAUUAGCACUGGGGGUGGGUAAGUUCACUAUCACAGAAGAGAGCUUUGGCUUGUUUCUCUUUAUUUUGUAGCAACUUGUGUGAUGGAUUUUAGUUUGCAGGGCUUGGAUGUUAUCAUUAUCAAACCAACUAAUGUUGGCAAAAAGUUGUUGGCCUUUGAUUCUUUGUCCAGCUAGGUGUUGUAGCAGGCUCACUUUUGCACCACUGAUUUACUUCAGCUUUCAAUCUUGUGUUAAGAGGGGAUAAAAAAUCACCAUAUGGUGAAGUUAUUUUAUAUAGUUCUCAUGGUAUAAUAGCUGUAAGAGUUUACACAUUUUUCAACAGUAAAAUUUGAUUAAUUAAAAUAAAUAGGAAGAACUUAAUAGUAAAACUUGAAAUAUAUUAUUGAAGAUUAAAAUAGAAAAUAUAUAUAUAUAUAUAGUGAGUGUGGGAGAAACAAUUAAGGCUAGUUGAAGGCAACAAAAUUGGCAAUAAAUUAUGAAACCCUAGGCAUUUUGUCUCCACGCAGAAAAGAAACAAAAACUCCACCUACAAGAGCCAAAAAUCGGAAAGCCACCUGCAACCAACGCAGCUCUUAGUAAAGCUCAAAGCGAGCCCCGAGGAUCCCUGUUUGUUCACAUCUAUUUGUAAUUGCAGUGAAAUUGGACGUAGCCAUAUAUGCACUAUCCUCAAAAACGAAAAGGAGGUUGGUUUAAAAGCAAGAGCAUUUGCUUAAUUACAAAGCAGAACCAGAUUAAUGUGUACAUCGAUCCUAUUGGGGUGUUUGAAUAUUAUUGUAUCCUUACUUUCUUACGAUUAAUUAAUUUAGCUCUUCGUCAGGGCAAAUUGAUUGUUAAUUAUUACAGUUAGAACAUUCUGAUAGCGAGUCCAAGGAGAGCAUCGUUGGAUUGUUCAUGUGCAGAAGAUGUGACAAAUUAACAAUGGAGAAAAUAAUAAAGAUUCGUGAUUACGGGAUCACAAAUAGAUGGCAAUGAAGCGGGUUAGAGGAGUGGGUCCAGGUUCAUCUCUAUACAUGCCCUAUUUACAAUUCCCCAUCCUAGUCCAUCUACUCUCCAUUUUGUAUUCACCCUUAUUAUUUCGCUCAAUAAUAAAUUGAAAAUGGCACCUUAUGUCACGGACUAACUUGAAAACACAUACAUAUGACGAAAUUAAUGCAAAACUAUGAGUGCUAGGUUCUAUGUUUUUUUUAAAAAAAAACUACGGAAUAAUUAAGUACAAUAUAUAAACUAUAUAGAAGCAAAAUAAAUAAUAGGUAAAGAGAAGGGAGCAUCUUUCAGUCCUCGAAGAAAUCAUUACCUCUAAGAAACACUCUAACCAACAAUGAAAUGUCUCCUCAACCAAUAAAACCUAAUUAAACUGACGAUGCUAAAGCUGGAAGAGAUUGGAUGUUGUGUUGGAACAAAUAAUUUAAAUCUGUGAACAUCUGCAUCUGCAUCUGCUUGUCAAUUUAUUGUUCUGUGGUCUUUGGUGCCCACACAAAGUUAAGCCCAUCUAAUUUCCACUUUUUGUGGUGCUCCAAGAAGUGGCCAGUAGCGUUCCAAAAGGAAGUACUUGCCAGCGAAAGGUGGAGGCCUGCAUGUAUAGAAUCUACUCUCCUCUCCCAAAAUUUCACUGCGUUCGGCAAGGCCCACAUUUGCGAGUUCGGCAAUGUUGACUUACAGGCUAUGUAUCACGAAUAUUUUCAUAAGUCUCAUGCGUCCGUGUCGAACGCGCUCGCGUCUGUGUCAGACACAUGUGUCUGAUAUGGACACUUUUUUGACGCACGUUAAAUGCCGAUCCAUAGUGUAAUACAACUAAAAAUAUGUAUAUACAUGUUUUUAUUUUAUUUUUUCUAUGUAUAUGUAAUGUAAGAUGAUAAAUAUUUUAGUUUUUUUUUAUAAAUACAUAUAAUUUUUUUGACAAUAUAAAUAAAUUAUGUAAGGUAGAAAAUUUCUUUUCUUAAAAUAUAUAAAUUAUUAAUGAAAAUUUUAUUAAUUUUCAUCCGUAUGAGAAAUAUAAUAAUAUUUUAUCAAAAUUAAUAUUUUAUAUAUAAUAAAAAUAUAUUAUUAUAUUAAUAAUAUUAUAUUUUAUUAGCGGCGUUCAUGUCGUGUUCGUGUCCUAAUUUUUUGAAAUCUGUCGAAUUGUGAUGUUCGAGUCGUGUCGUGUUCCAUGUCACGUAUUAGUGGCUGUGACGCCUCGCUUAUAGGGACCAGCAUCCUACCCUAUUACCAGGAGUCGGGUUGGAUCGAGUCAUAUUCGAAAUAGUGAAAGACUGAAUUGGAUCCAGUUAUGUUCGAUGUAGUGUAAGGUUGGAUUGGCCAAGUUACAGUCAAGACCCGUGGACGCUAUGUGAAUUAGUUUUAAAUUUCUAACAGCUCGAGUUUUUUGAUUUAAUGAUUCACGCCAAUGAUCCAUCAAAUAGUAUCAGAACAGAGGCCAAGGAUUCGAUUCCGAUAUGCUGUGAAUUUGUACAGGUGCUCUGAAGGGAUUGUUGGCUUCAAAGAGCCCCGCCAUGUGGUGAGAGGCUAGAUUGCGCCAAAUUAUGUUUCAAGUGGCGUUAAGCUAAUUGGGCCAACUAUCCAACAGGCAAGGCUAGGGAUGCAAAUGGGCAGUUCCCCCGCCUUCCACUCAUACUACCAAAAUCUCGCCCCGCCUCCCGCCCUGAAUCAUAAUAUCACAUAAUCCAUCCUGCCUCAUAAUCUACCUACCGUAGGAGCCCCGAAUCCGUCCCGCCAACUAUUAACUUUUUUUACAAAUUAUAAUAUUAUUAAUACUUUGUAAAAUAUAAAUUAAUAAAAUUUUUAAUAUAAUGAAUAAUAUUACCAGGUUAUAUAUAUAGAAUUAUGUUACUAUACUAUUGAUAGUAGCAAGUGCUUGCUGUUAUCGAGUUUUCGGCCAUUGGGUGAAAUGAUGUGCGGUUAGGAUGAUAAUGGUGUUCUAGGGUUGAGUGGGUGGUUGGUUGAAUAGUAUAAUCUAACGGAUGGAAAUAGUCAAAAGAAAGAUCUAACGGGCAGAAAACUCGAUAGUACCAAUAGCUUGGUACUAUCAAUAGUAUAAUAGCCGGAUUACAUAUAUAUAAAAUUAAUAAUAUUAAUUAUAAAAAUAAAAAAUAUGUCUUGAAAAUUAUUUUUUAUUAAACUGUAUCAAACUGUAUUGAACAUUUAUUCUAUUUUUGAUACGUAGUUUAAUGUUGAUCCAAACAGCAAGAAGAGAAAAAAAAAAAAAACUUGAAAAAUUUUCACAUAUGCUUAAGCACGGGGCUCGCAAAACCAUGCACGUAGGCCCACUGAAGGAGUCAAUAGAGUUGCUCAACAAGCCCUUUCAAAAGGGCUUAGAGCUAAACAUAUAGGUCCAUUUGGUUCGGAGGAUAAGCAGGGAUAACGAAAGUUAUCCCCGCUAUUCCGCCAAACAGAAUGAUAUUUUAUUGGAAUAUUUUAUUCCGGUCAAAUCUUACUAUUCCCGGUUAUUCCGAAAUAGUAAGAAUUUUGGUGGAAUAGUACUAUUCCAAUACUUAAUUUUAAAGUUAAUUAAAAUUAAAUUAUAUUUUAUAAUAUAUUAUUUUUAUUAUAAAAUUAUUAAUUGUACUAUAUUAAUAUAUAUUAUUUAUAUUUAAAUAUUAUAAUAAAAUUUAUAAUAAAUUAUAUUUAAAUAUUAUAAUAAAUUCUUUUUAUUAAAAUUUAAGUUUAAGUAGAAAUUUUUAAAAAAUUUAUAAAUUUAUUAUAAUAAAUUAUUUUUAUUAAUUGUUCCCACCCUUAUUCUUAUUUUAAAAUUUUAAAAUUUAAAUUUUUAAAAUUUAUAAUUUAUAAUCUCAAAAUUAAUAAAAAUAAUUUAUUAUAAUAAAUUUUUCAUCUUACCUAACAAAAUGCUAUUUUUUUUUAUUCCCAGGAAUAAUUCAAUUAUCAUCCAAACGCAGAAUUGAUAUAAUCCCCGCUUAUAUCUUAAUUUAUACCUAUCUCUGGAAUAGUCACUUUUUGUUUAUUUCCGAACCAAACGAUAUCUAAUUAAAGCAUUGUAUAUUUUAUAACAUUACAAUCCAGGGUUAAAUUAGAUUACUUUUUUGGAUUUUUUUUAAUUUUUUUGAAAACUAUAGGACGUCCAUUAUGAAAAAAAUAGUUUUAAUUUAGAUAGGUAACAUCAUGAAACAUACAUCAAAAAAUUAAUAUAUAAAUAUUAUAAAUCUAAAUCUAAGGCUCCGUUUAGUUCAAGGGAUAAGCGGCGAUUACGAAAGUUAUUCACACUAUUCCGUCAAACGGGAUAAUUUUUUGUCGAGGUAUUUUAUUCCGGUCAAAUCUUGUUGUUCUCGGUUAUUUCAGACGCUAGAUUUCCAACCAUGGGGGAUAGGGUUGUGUGCUGCCGCACUGUACAUGAAGUUGGGACCGGUGCUCGGAGAUCAUGUUCUUGCAACCGCUCUCAGCAUCUGAUCUUCAAGUUAAUUUGAUGAUCUUUCCCGAAUAGCUACGCCCACGGUUCAAUGAAAUGAUAGGUUUUUGUGUGGAGAUCUGGCAAAACAAACAUUCUCGCAAGCACAAUGAGGCAAUUGAAUAAUUAUUUGUUUGAAACUAUUUUUAUGUAAAGCUGAAUUUUAAUUUUCUUUGCUGCUGCUGCUACUGAUCCAGUGAUCCAUUCCAAGUUUCCAAAUAUUGCUGCCACAUUCCUAAUUAGUUUACAACUAUAUAGAUGAUUUUUUGUCAGGAGUUUUGAGUUUGCCUAAAGCUUAAUUUAUUAUAUAUUAUUUAUAAGAAGAAAUCCACAACUGUAAAUAUCAUCUAAGGGUAUGUUUCUUUCAACGUAAGUAAACUUUGGGUGAAAGUGGACUUUCGGUUGAAGUGGAGUUUAAGUGGUGCAUUCUUUUGUGCUUCUUUAAAUUCAAAUUCCGAGAUUAACAUUUCCAUUUAUAAAAACCAAUAAAGAGGUGACACGUGCGCAUAAAACUUAUUCUUAUAUAUGAUUAAUUCCACUGUACCUUGUUAUAUAUGUAGGUAUAUGUUAUCAAGCGAUCGGUUGAGCUAAAGGAGACACGAAUAAAAAUAAAAAUAAAAAUUAAUUAAUAUUUGAAAUGCUUACAAGUUAUAAGUUUAUGAGUAAUGAGUACAGAAUACUUCUAAAGUAUACGGAACAUUUAUUUUCAUAUUAUUCUGAUAAUAGAGUAUUCGAAUUAAUAACCGGCAUCAUUAAAUAUAAUUUAAAUUAUUUAAAAUUUUUAAAUAUUAAAUUAUUUAAAUAAUUUAAAUUAUAUAUUCAAUUAUAUUAAUUAUCAAUUUGAAUAUAUGAUAGUCAAAUAUAAUACUAAAAUAAAUGCCAACCUUUACUUUGAGAAAUAAUCGAGCUCUAAUUCACAAUAAUAACAAGUAUUAAAAAAAAGUCAAGCGCAGCCGCGCGCGGGCCACCCACGUACGCACACGUACCUCAACCAAAUUGACACGCGCCACCCACGUACGUACACAUUCCCCAACCAAAUUGACACGUGCUAGCUUAUAUGUAUGUAUACUAUUUAGGCCACAUAUAAUUCCUAAGUAAUCAAAGAUUAAAAAAAUUAUAUGCAUACCUAAAUUUAUUUACAUUUCCAGCUAAAUUUAUUUCUAAAUAAAAUAAACGAAGCGGGUAGCGUGCUUUUUAUCUCUCUAAAAAAAAAAAAAUUAUACAUACCAAUAAAAUUAUUAAAAAUUGUAUUGGAUCCGUUAUUUAGUUUACGAUUUAUAAUAUUUCAAUAAUUUUUAUAUUUUUUACAAAAAUAUUUCAAUUACUAUUAGCUAAUUUAAAUUGAAAAUUUGAUUUAAGUGAGUUAGCAGAAUCAUUAUAAAUAUCUAGGUGGUAGGAAUACUAAAUUGAUAUGAUUUAAUAGGGAUUCUCUUUUCUAUUUUUGAUAGAAAUUAUUAAUAGCCUAUUAAGAAUAUAUUUUUAAUUAUUUUUCAAUUUAAGUGACUUAAUAAAUUAGUAGGAAACUUAUCUUCAAAUAUAAAAUAAUAUAUAUUAUAUUUUUGGAAAAUUUGAACUAAACGGCCUCUCAAUGUAGAGCCGUGUUUGACUCGCAAAGACUUAUCGCGGCCAACCUAAAAUUAAUUUCAGAUAAAUAUGUGUGGAGAAUGGAGAUCCCUUCAAUUAUAUAUAUCUCAUUUUAAUAGACCCCCAAAACUUUUCUGAUUAGUACAGCUUCUUUAAUACCGGUCUCUAGCGCUAGCGAUAAAAAACUUAGUGGUUGAUACCUGAGAUUUCAAGUUCGAAUUAGUUUAAUUGUUCUAUAUUUUCAGCUACGUAUGUUUAUUUAUAAAAAAAAAUAAACGAAAUGGAUAGCACGCUAUAUUUCUCUUCAAAAAAAAGCACUUUAACUACAAACUGCAUUUUCAUUGAAACUAGAUCAUAGUCACCAAAAUCUAAAAUUUGUUUUCUAAGAAGGCAUUUAGAACAGCUAAAUUAACAAAAUCUUUAUUGAAUUUAAUAACUUAUUAUUUAUUUUAUACAAAUAAUUUAUAUUAUGAGAAGAACAAGUCGAAGUGUAUUUGAAAAGUCUAGUUUUGGUUUUUUGGGGAAAAUAUGGCAAGCUAUUUGUUUCUUUCAUUUUUAAGAAACGAACUCAUCUUAAAAAAAGUUAAAAAUGUAAACUAAUUGUGCUUCUAACUUGAAAUUUGUGUUACCAGCCAUCUAAAACCUUAGCGAACUGCUACAUUGAUUAAUAAAGGUUAAUAAUAAUGGUUAAGAGAUUUAUAGGAUAGAUUACUUAGAUUACCGGAGAGACGACAAAAUUAUUUUAAAAUCUAGCAGUGGUACCACAUCAUCUAUAAUUUUAACUAAUUAAAUUUGCUCUUGCUCAGAUUUAUCCAUUCAAUCGUGUUUUUUUUAUAAAAAAAAUAUUAUAUUUUGUUCUAAAAAAAAAUUGGUUGGUUUGAGAUACAUGUGAGGUAAUGCUAUUGCUACAAAAUAGACCACCUAGUGACGCCGAUAGUGACGACCAUGAUUGCGUAAUGAUCUUAUAUAAAAAAUUUCAUCUCGUACGUACGAAGCUAUGGAAAAAAAAGAAAAAAAGAAAAAAAAAAGGGAAUAGUUUAUAGAUUGGCCUAUAUAUAUAUAGAGGGUCAUUAGAAGAGAAAAUUAAGCAGUAGCUCGGUCCUAAUUAAUUAACGUAGUACUACAACAAUGAAGUUGGAACAAGUGCUUUGCAUGCUUGGAGGAACUGGAGACCACAGCUACGCUACCGUCUUCAACCUUGAGGUCUCUCUCAGAAGAUUAUGAGUGCUUUUUUAUGUUCUCAGAUUUAUUUAUUUUUAUUUUAUUUAUUUAUAUCGAAAUUUUACUGAGUCGAAAAUAUGAGGAGAAAUAUUGAAUACAAUACUUUCAUUGUAAUAUUGUACGUACUAUACAUAUGCAUGGAAGCUUAUGUUUUUUUUUUAAAAAAAUGUGUUUUCACAGAAAAUAUAUAUGAGUUGGAUAAUUAGGUUAAGGUUACAUUAGAAACAUUGGAUCGGCGCAUCUGCUUCACCAUUCGCUGGAUCAUUUUUGAGCCCAUAUGUGUUUCAAAGUGAAAACACCACUCUCUCUACACUUCACCUUGGAGCCUUUCAUUUUUUUUUUUUAAAGAAUUUUGUGCAUGUAUAUAUCUUUGUAUCUCUUUAAAUAUAUACCUUAUUCCUUUCCCGCCAUGCACAACACAUUCUGGUGCUGUAUAUAUAUUCAGGACAAAACCGUACCAGAUGCUAUAUUUAUAAUGAAGCAAUCAGUAGAGGAGCUCUACCACGACCUCCUCCCGGAGAACUACGUGGUCGUCGCCGACUUGGGCUGCUCCUCGGGGCCCAACGCAUUCAUGUACUUUGCGGCGAUAAUGGACGCUAUCGGCGAGAGCUGCGACCGGUUGAGCCGCCGGGCCCCGGAGAUCCAGCUGCUGUUGAACGACCUCCCGGGAAACGACUUCAACACCCUCUUCGGACUCUUCGCGUCGAGCAAGGAGAAGAUGAAGGAGGAGAAGGGAGAGAAGUUUUUACCUUUUUACCCUGCAGGGGUCCCUGGAUCGUUCUAUGGGAGGUUGUUUCCUGCAAGGAGUGUUCACUUCAUCUAUUCAUCUCUUUGUCUUCACUGGCUCUCUCAGGUUUGCCUCACCAUACUUUUCAGAAAAAUACUACCUAUGCAUCUAUUUAUAAGUGUAAAUCUUGUAAUAUUCUUAAUUCUAAAAUUUAUAAAUACAUAUGUAAGAGAUUUUGAAUAAGUAGGGUGUAAGAUGUAUUGAAUAUAAAAUAGAGUGAGGCUACUAUGCUUCUGGAAGCACCGAGCCUUCCGUGCUUCCAGGUCGUUUUCGAUGUUGCGACUUUCGAAUCGUCGAUCGACUCAGUUAAACUUGAUCUAGAGUAUUUGAAAUACUUAGAAAAUAAAUUUUAUGAUUUUUCGAUAUCAUUUGUCUAAUGAUCGAAGGGACUCAAAAUCAAUAAUUUUAACGGCCGUGGUGAGCCGUUUGCAAGUUUAACGGUGUAGAAAUAUCCAAAUCACGUAAAAUUUUGAUAGAAAAUUUUUUAUACUAUAUAAAACAAGAUCAAUAUCUUUGAUCUAAAAUUUUAAUGUCAUAUUAUUACGUUUUGUAAGAUUUUUAUUUUCAGCCGUUGAAUUUGAGCCCCUUAGUUCACUAGGCAAAUGAUAUCGAAAAAUUACAAAAUUUAUUUUCUAGGUACUUCAAAUACUCUAGAUCAAGUUUAACAGAGCCGAUCGACGAUUCAAAAGUCGCAACAUCGAAAAUGACCUGGAAGCACGGAAGGCUCCGUGCGUCUAGAAGUAUAGUAAUCUCACUCUAUAAAAUAUAUCUAUAAACAUCAUUUUUUAAUAACUUAAAUUUUUUGAGUACAUCAGUUGUUUCAUAUAUUUUACAUGAUAACAAAGUGGAAGGUCCUGAGUUUUAAUUAAGCCCACAUCAAAAAAAUCAAUAUGAUAUUUUUUUUUCAAUUGUAGGUUCCUCAAGGACUUGAGACUAACGGAAAUACUGCAGUGAACAAAGGAAAUAUCUACAUCUCAAAGACAAGCCCUCCUCUCGUGUCUAAACUAUAUACGGAGCAAUUUCAGAGGGACUUCUAUUCGUUCCUCAAGCUUCGAUCAGAAGAAAUAUGCACCGGAGGACGAAUGGUCUUAAUGUUCUUCGGUCGGAGAACUUGGGAUCCUGCAGAAGAAGAAAAUAACUAUAUUUCGACUUUGCUUUCGAAGGCUCUCAACGAAAUGGUCUUAGAGGUAACUAACUACGUUUGUCACAGAUUUGUUUCAUUAAUUCUCAAUCCAUUUAAACACAAACUUUUAGCUAAAUAAAUCAUCUAAAUUAUCCUUUCAAUUUCAGGGGAUUCUAAAAGCCAGUGAAGUGGACUCAUUCAAUCUACCAUAUUACCAGCCUUGCAUGGAAGAAGUGAAGAUGGUCACGCGAGAUGAAGGAUCAUUUGAUGUCGCGCACGAGAGUGUUUUCGAUUUGAAUUGGGAAGUUCUUGGCAACUUAGAUGAUAAGUCCCUCACGGACAACAAUGCAAGUGGAGAGUACAUAGCAAAGAUCAUGAGAUCAGUGUUAGAACCUCUGUUUGCAUCUCACUUCGGCGAGGCCAUAAUCGACGAAUUAUUUUCGAGAUUGACGGCAAAACUCACCAAGCACAUUGAAACAGAAAAGGGGAAGUAUGUUAUUUUUGUAGUGUCUUUGAGGAGGAUAUAUAGGGUGAAUUCUUGAAAUCUAGAACAAAACUUAGCGGCGGAGGUUCAAACGACAAAACCCAGUCGCAGUCCAAGCUUCACAUGCAUGCAUGCAUGCAUGGCUAGUUUCGCUAAUAAGGCUAGCACAAUUUAAUUUUGUGCGCAAGAACUUUCUUUUUAUGCAUGUUUAAGAAUAUGUUAUCACCUUAGUUUCUUUCUAUAAUUUCCGCGUGGUGGCGACGGAGUAAUCUUGUUUAAUUCCCUGUGUCACAAGUCUCUAUUUUUAAAUCAAUUGAGUAAUUUUGUUUAAUUCCCUUUACCAAUAGUCAAGAAUAUUUAACAAUAUACUUACUAUAAUAUAUUAAUUAUCAAGAUAUGUGGCAGGCCCCUGUAAGGGUAACGGAGUUCCGCAUAACAGCUAACAAUUGAUCGCCAUUAUAUUUUUUUAUUAAGGUGAUAUCAAAAUCCGAAUCACUCAAUCGGAAUGAUAUAGACAAAUUUUAGAUGAUUACAUAUGAGCCUUCAUAAAAUUGUAAAAGAAGCCACUUCUCGUUCGUUCCUUACAAUUUAUUUUUUGUCAUUUCAUUUCAUACGCUUAAGAAAAAUAUCUAGACCAUUUCAUUAAUGUAAAUCAAAGCAAAUCGACAACCGCGCUACUACGCUAAACAAAUUCACUUUUACGAUAUGCAUCUCAUUUAUUUCAUCCUACCUAACUCUAUAUUCGCCAUUAAUAUUCGUCAGAACAAGAUUCAAGCUUAUGCGCUGGGAGUAAAACAUGGCUUAUUAAUUUGAUCUCAUCUCUUCUACUUCCAGCAAUAUAUUCUAGUAAGACAUUUUGGAAAAAAUAGAUAGCAUGUUAUCUGUUUUAUUUGUUGUUUCAGAAAUAAACUAAAUAGCUAGAAAUGAAAGCAAAUUAUUGAAGUUCUAACUAUAGCAGUUGAAGAGAAUAACUUAACAAAAGUUAAGCGUAAGAAUUAUGUUUAACAGCUUAAGUUUCGGUCCAAUAAUAUUUAGCUUCAGGGCCUCAGAGGUAUUUUAAAAAUAGGUGAUCAAACCAAGUAUGUGUGUAUUUACGGGGGGGGUUUGAUCGAUCUUCAGAUAUUUAGGUUUUUAUAGUAAGUUGUUUAUUAUGGCGUUUGGGCCAUUGGGCCUAUGGGCAAUCCUCAAAAAAUGUUUAAAAAAGAUAAGCCUUAAUUGCCUUUUCAGCAGAAGAUUUCUUCUUUUUUUUUUUUUUUGGUAAUUUGACAAUAAUCUCACCACCUUAUAUAUAAAAUUAUUUUAUUAUAUAAAUAUACAUUUAUUAUAUCUAGUGCAAAUGACUAAGAUUUUAAUAGUUGAUAUCUGAAAUUUCAAGUUCGGUACCUAGUUCUAAUUGUUUCACGUUUCUAGUUAAGCUCAUUUGUAAAAAAAAUUUAGUUAUAGCUACAAAACUGUAUGUAUUAUUAAUUAUACUAUAUUUAUAAUUACCUUCAAUUAAACAAACGAAUCUUAAGAGGAUACGGUAAGAAUGGAUUUCAAAAGAAGUGCAAAUUUUUCAAACUUAUACGCACAACAAAUUGGGCAUUCAUAAAGUUACAUUUCUCCGAUAAAAUAACAAAUUAAGCAUUCAUAAAGUUACACUUCCGAAUAAACUAAUAUAUCCUUUAAAAAAAAAAAAAGAGCAAAGUUGCCUUCAGAUUUCGUUUUUGUUACGGAACUACGAAGUACAUCACAAAAAGUCGUAUAACCUUGCCGACCAUCCCUAAAACAAGUAGUAAGAAGUUUGGUGUUUGGUACUCGAGAUUUCAACUUCGAAGGUUAACUGUUUCGUAUAAAUUUAUUUUUUUAAAAAAUAAACGAAAUAAAUAAUAUACUAUUAUUCUCUUAAAAAAAAUCAUGUAGCCUUAUGAUGCUUAGUCUGUGGUUGGUUGCACCUAAAAAGUGUAUGGGGACUUUUAUUUUCAAUUGAAAAUUAGUUUUUUACGAGCUUGAUUCCAGGUGCAAUAUGUUGACAAACAGUUUUACAGGUGGAAUAAAUUCCCGGUGGAGGGUUGGGGACGGUGGUUUGAAUAUAUUUCCUUUUCCGCCAAAAAUAUGAAUGUUUUGAAGACUAUUUUCAUUUUGCGGGAGAUUACUUACACUUCAAUAAACAUAAACAAUUUUAUAUAAAACAUGCUUUUAGAAAGAAAGAAAAAAAAAAAUCCCUUUUGUCUAUAAUUUUAUAUAUAACCAAACACUACCUACCUAACAAGAUAGAGAGAAGCAAUUAAAAAGGAUUCAUGAAGAGCGUGCUCAACGACUGAAAUAGUAAAGAGACGUGCUCAAAAAGCCGUUUCAAAAGGGUUCCUAAUUAAAGAAACACUACCUACCUAACAAGAUAGAGAGAAGCAAUUAAAAAGGAUUCAGGAAGAGCGUGCUCAACGACUGAAAUAGUAAAGAGACGUGCUCAAAAAGCCGUUUCAAAAGGGUUCAUAAUUAAAGACUAUAUAUAUAUAUAUAGAGUUGGACUGGGCUACUAUUAGUAGCAAAAUUCUAUUAUUGCUAUCAGUUUUUUAACCUUUGGAUCAACUCUUUUCAUUAUUUCUAAUCAUUGGAUUAAAUACUAUAACCCAGUGGGGACCACUCAACCCUAGGGGGACCACUCAAUUCUAACCGACUAAUAUCAUCCUAACUCUACAAUUUUUCAUCCAAGGGUUAAAAACUUGAUAGCAAAAAGUGCGUUUUACUAUUAAUAGUAUUCCAGCCUAAUUCUAUAUAUAUAUAUAUAUAUAUAUAUAGUGAGGCUACUAUACUAUCGGAAGCACGGAGCCUUCCGUGCUUGUACCUCGUUUUCGAUGUUGGGACUUUCGAAUCGUCGAUCGGCUCCGUUAAACUUGAUCUAGAGUAUUUGGAGCACAUAGAAAAUAAAUUUUAUUAUUUUUCGAUAUCAUUUGCCUAGUGAUCGAAUGAGCUCAAAAUCAACAAAUUUCAAUGGCCGUAGUGAGCCGUUUGUAAGUUUAACGGUGUAAAAAUAUCCAAAUCACGUGAAAUUUUGAUAGAAAAUCCUUUAUACUAUAUAAAACAAGAUCAAUAUCUUUGAUUUAAAAUUUUAAUGUCAUAUUAUUACAUNUCGCAACAUCGAAAACGAGGUGGAAGCACGGAAGGCUCCAUGCUUCCGAUAACAUAGUAGCCACUCUCUCUCUCUCUUUCUCUCUCUCUCUCUCUCUCUCUCUCUCUCUAUAUAUAUAUAUAUAUAUAUAUAUAUAUAUAUAUAUAUAAAAAGUAGGGUUACGGUACUAUUAGAAGAACAAUAGUCAUUAUAUUCCUAAGUUCGUAACUAUUCAUUAAUUUUGAUAAGUGAUUUGGAUUAAUAUUUCAUUUUUCUCAUUUCUCUCUCAAGUUUUAUUUUUUUUUAAUUUUUGUUUUCAAUUUCUCUUAUCUCGCUCAUUCUAACCAUUAAUCAAAAUUAAUGAAUGAUUAUGAACUUAAAAAGCAUAAGAAAUUUUGCGCUUCUAAUAGUACAGUAACACUACUCUCUCUCUCUCUCUCUGUAUAAAUAGAGGGAGGAUUAGGCUAGAAUACUAUUAAUAGUAGCCCUACUUUAACGAUGUAAAAUUUGAUCGUACUAAAUGUUUGAUGCUAUUAAUAACAUGAUAGCCGAACUAUUACAUAAUAUGAGUCUCCAUAGUGGAAUGGUAGCAUGGUAGCCGAACUAUUACAAAUUUUAUCGCAUUAAAUGGUUGGUGCCAUUAAUAGCCGAACUAUUACAUAAUGUGAGUCUCCAGAGUGGAAUUUUUGUACUCAGCGGACAUCAUUCUAGAUAUGCAUGCAAAGUAAUGUGAAUCUCCAGAAUGGAAUUUUUGUACUCAGCAGACAUCAUUCUAGAUGUGCAAAGUAAAAGAGAGAUAAUAUUAUUAUUAAUUUCAGGAAACACCCUCAGUUAAUUAUAACUCUUUUUAAAAUGGAUCCUUCAAAUUUUCUUCUGGAAUUUAUAAACUUUAGAUAUUAAUGUUAAUUAAAGUUAAUUAAAUUCUCUACAAGGUACUUAUGUUAACUAUUAACAAAAAUACACAAUCCUGCCAGCUGAAAAGUAUUUAGGAAAACGUUAAAUUACAAAAUUUUUAUAAAACUUCAUAAAUUCUUGGCUAAAUUAUAGAAAACCACCAUGUUAAUUAUAUCUGUUUUUUCACUUUUCCUCUCUGAUUUUUAAAAAUCUAUAUUUUACCCCUUCAAAAAUUAAAAAAUGUUUAUUUUGGCCCCCGUACGUGAUUAUUGUUCCGUCAGGAUUUCGUUUAUAUUUUAUAUAUCCAAAAUAUCCUGAGAUUUUUUUUCCCAGUCGUGCUGCCUUUCUCCUCGCUGACGUCCUCGGCCACGCCGCCUUGCUCCUCGCCUCCCUCCAUGGCAAGCUCAAGUCCUCCACCCACACCCACGCCCUCGCGCUCCUUCGCCGUCUCGCCCUCGCCCACCCCGACCUCCUCCCCACUAUCGCCGAAUAGAGGAGUGGGGAGGGUGCAAGAGGAGUAGGGGGAGCAGGUGGAACAAGCUGAGUUAGAACCGGAAUCGAGAGAGGCACGGAGGACGGAGGAGGAGGGGUUGUGGAUGAAGAAGGGUUGGGGAUGAGACAAAGAGAAAGGAGGAUAUUUCUUAUUUUUUAAGAAAGUAAAAUAUAAAUUUUUAGAAAUCGAAAAAGAAAAGUAAACAAAAGGAAUGUUGAGGGAAAAAUUUUCACUAAUUUAGUCUAAUUUUUUUUUUAAUGUAAUUUAUAAUUAGAAAAAAGUGAAAAGAAUGCCUGCGAACUUAUUUUUUAAAAUUCGCAGUAGUUAGGGGGGUCCCACAACAUUAAGGCGGUAGUUUGGAGAGAAGAAGAUCCUCCAAGGCAUGCAUGAGGGGGGUCGGAUCACGUACGUGUAUGAAGACGCAAUAAACUUGGCAUCAUAUGCGACAACGGUGGACAACGGUAGCCACCACUGGACGAUAAUAUAAUCUAAUAUAAAAAAAAUUAGUUUCCUACGAAGUUAUGGGUCAAGAAAAAAAAAAAAAAAUGUAACAGUCAAUUAAUUUAGCCUAUAUAAAGGGUCAUUUGGGGUAUAGAAAAUGCAGGGAAGCAACCAGUAAGUAAUAAGUAUAAGCUCGCUUCGCAAUGAAGGUGGAAGAAGUGCUUUGCAUGCUUGGAGGAACCGGAGAUGACAGUUAUGCUACAGUCUCCAAGCUUGAGGUCGCUCUCUCUCUCUCAUAUAUAUGGUUGAAAAUUAACAUGGCUAGAAAAAGAAUUGUUAAAUCAUAUGAUAAAUAUCAGAAAAGAAGAUCGUCAUCGAGUUCAUUUUAGCUCUUAAUUUGUAGUUCAAACUACUUUUCCUCCAUUUUAUAUCAAAAUUUCAUGCGUAUUUCUUAUGAUCAAAAUUAGUCAAAAAUGAUAGGGGAAAUAUUAGACAAAAUAUAUUCUACGUUAAACUUUUUUUCCUAAAAUUUAAAAAAAGUUUUAUCACAAAUAUGAGCAUACGGGAGCUUACUUUUAAGGUAACUUAUCCAUGUAUAAAUCUAUCUUUGUAAUAUCCCUUUGCAUUCCUUAUCUCUUCACUGAAAUGGCACGUUAACUGUUUCGCCAUAUUAAUUUGCAGGACCAAACCGUAGCAAAUGUUAUAUUAAUAAUGAAACGAUCAGUAGAGGACCUGUACCACGAUUUCCUCCCGGAGAAUUACAUGGUCGUCGCCGACUUGGGCUGCUCGUCAGGGCCGAACACGUUCAUGUAUUUCUCUCAGAUCAUGGACGCCAUAAGAGAGAGCUGCGACCGCCUGAGCCAUCGCCCGCCGGAGCUCCACCUCCUCUUGAACGACCUCCCGGGAAACGACUUCAACACCCUCUUCGGACUCUUCACGUCGAGCGUGGAGAAGAUGAAGGAGGAGAAGGGAGAGAAGUUUUUGCCUUUUUACCCCGCAGGGGUCCCUGGAUCGUUCUAUGGGAGGUUGUUUCCUACAAGGAGCGUUCACUUCAUGUAUUCAUGCCUUAGCCUUCACUGGCUCUCCCAGGUUUGCCUCACUAUAUAUACACACUACUUUUAGGUUAUUGUGCGUAAAUUUGCUUUUAGUUUUCUAGUGGCUGUGGUUAUAUAGGAGGUGAAAAGGAUCGGUCGGUUCGGAUAUAUAUAUAUAUAUAUAUAUAUAUAUAUAUAUAUAUAUAUAUAUAUAUAUAUAUAUNUACUGUCAUAUUCAAUAAAAAUGAAUUUGAAUUCAAAUAUGAGUUAGAUUUGUAUUCGGAUAUUAUUCGAAUAAUAAUAUAUAUACAUGGUUCGGCUACAAUGCUAUCAAUAGCAUUAAGUUCUUCGUGCUAUAUAUCAAGUUUUCCGCUGUUGGAUCUACUUUUUUAAUCAUUUUCAUAUCUUUAAAUCAUACUAUUCUACCAAUCACCCUCUAAAUCUUAGUGAACUACUAUUAACCUAGCCGCACAUCCCUUCAUCUAAGAGUUGAAAACCUAAUAGCAUCAAUGACUUGGUGCUAUAUAUUAAUAGUAUUUUAACCUACUUCCAUAUAUAUAUAUAUUUACGGGAAUAAGACACACAAUGCAAUUAAAUAUUCAAAUUCAUGUUUGAACUAUGUAUAUCUAUAUUGUAUUUAAUAAAAUUUAAUAUUUAACAAAUAUGAAUGCAAGAGCAAGUUUAGCAUUAAAUUCAUAACAAAUUAAACAAACGAAAUAUAUGUUAGAAAAACACUUUAUCCCCCUAUAAUAAUAGAUAUUAAUAUAUUGAAGCAAGUAGCUUGCUACCUUUCUCUAAAAAAAAAAAUAAAAAAAAUAGAUAUUAAUAUUCCUCUUAUCUUCUAGGGAUGAAAAUGGUCAAAUUCAAUCGGAUUUUUAAGAAAUCAUAUUCGAUUCUUUUUUUUAUUUAUUUUUUUAUGCGAAUUCAGAUGCGAAUAUAUAUCGAAUACUAAAUUUUAAUAUCUACAUGUAUAUCCUAUAUAUCGAAUUCAGUGUCGAAUUAAUUUACUAGGAGUUUAUCGUAAUCACUUUCACCUCUAGUCGUAGUGCUUUUAAAGUAGGAAGGAAUAUUAUAAUUUAUAAGGUGGAGAAAUUAAGGUUUUCGUAACCUUGUCGAUCUCUAGUGCGUUUGUGAAUAUUUUUCUUUCUAAUGAGAUCGCGUAUCCCUUUCUGAGCCAACAUAAUACUAUUUUUUUAUCUUAAUUUAGUAGACCUUACCCAAGCAGAAUCUUCUUGGGAAAGACAGAAAACUACACAGCCUCUAUCAAUUGUUGAACUUCUUCUUUAGCACCAUCGAUUAUUGAAUUGUAUCAAAACUAUUCUACAUCACGUUGACUAAGAGUUUCGGACCAAUUUAUCUUGAAUUACAACUAAUUUUAAAUAAUUUUGUGGUAUUCUGUAGAAUUAAUAAAUCUAUUUAUCAUCUAAAUAAUUUUUUUUUGUUAUUGUAAAUUUAUUUUUUCUCUACUUAAUUUUUUUUAAAAAAAUUCAAUAUGACAUGAGUCUCAAUUGGAUCUUAAUCGAUAGUUAUUUAAAGUUAAAGAUUUAUUAUUCUUUUUAUGAAUCUCUAUUUUACUUUGCCUAUAUUAGUAUGCUCCUUUUAAAAUUUAUUAUUUGUGCAGUUCAGUUUAUUUUAAUUCAAGCAAAAAAUAUUUUAAGUUAAUUUAAAAAGUAUAGGUAAUAGAUUAUGUACAAAAUAAGAAUUUUAUUUAAUUUUCAUAAGUUAAUUAUCCAUAUGAAUAUUUAUUAUAAUUUUUUAAAAUUAAAAUAAUAUUGUUUUAUAUCAACUCUUUUAGAAAAGAUUCUAUAAUUAAACAUGAAGAAACCUCAAAAUAAUUAAGAAACAAGUAUAUAUGCAAGUACCAUACAUGCAUGAACAUUAUGAAACCACCAAAAUAAUUAAGAAACAAAAAAACAAAAUUGUACUGCCGAGUACUAUUUUGCUGUAAUUAAAAGUCGUACAGAUUAUCCAGUCCAAACCAGCUCAUCAAACGGGUCAACUUUUGGUACCAUUUGGUCAACAGAAAUAUUAUCCAUCAUUUUUUUUUUUUACUUUAAGAGGAAAAAAACAAAAAAAAAUCCGGAUCGAAUCGCCGGUCUAGUUGCUCUUCCUAAAAAGGAGCAUUACCCUUUUGAAAUCAACCGACUAUACCAUUUCUUCAUUUCUUUCUUUCUUUCUUUUUUUUAAUAAUCUUUCUGGCUAUUGCUAUCAAUGGAAUAUAACAAUGCUGUCUGUACAUUUCUAAUCUCUAGAUUAGGAAGUUGUUCGGUUUAAUAUAGUUACAACUGGACUAUAAUUGUAAAUUAUAUAUAAAUUCAAAUUUUAAUUUUUGAUAUGGUUGAAUUUAAUUAUUGCGGUUGGAAUUACAUGAGAAUAUUCAAUUAUAACGGUUAGAAUUACAUCCAAAUUAACCACAUAUCCAACUAGAGCAAUCAAAAAAAGUAACUUCAAAUAAAAAAUAAGAUUACCUUCCUAAUUACUUUUUAAUCUCCAUAUAUAAUGAAACUUCUAUAUAUAAUUAUAACAACUGAAUCUCAACUGCAUGUUUUUCUAAUUACACUGUAUUUAUAAUUAUAUUCAACCUACAGAAUCAACAACCCCUAGGUAUAAUUAAGAUGUACACCUGGUCUAUCCAAAGAUCCUUCUUCUUCCACUAAUCUUAUCUCUUUUUUCCUUUUUUUGUCACCAAAAUUUUUUUAAUUUUUUUGAACCUUAGAAUUAAAAAGGUGCAAGAUUUAGAUCUAUAUAUAGAUGUACAUGUAGCAUAUUCUAUAAGAUAUAUAAUCCAAUUAAUUAGUAUGAUAUUCUAAUUUUUUAUGAGACCAAAAAAUAGAUCUUCACUUUAUAUAUUCUUAUACAUCACAACUUGAUAAGGACAAUAUUUUGGAAAACAUAAAGCAGAAUUUUUAGACCUAACAUGCAUACCGUAAUACUUCAAAAUUAUAUGGUAGAUAUGUAGGUGUAUACUAUAAUGUGUUAUGAAUUACAAUAGUUUUCUUUUUUCCAAAAUAAUUUUAUAUAUGUAUGAUAUUUUUUUACUAUAGGUUCCUCAAGGACUGGAGAGCAAGGCAAAUAUUGCAGUGAACAAAGGAAAUAUUUAUAUCUCAAAGACAAGCCCUCCUCUUGUUUCCAAAUUGUACUUGGAGCAAUUUCAGAGAGAUUUUCAUUUAUUCCUCAAGCUUCGAUCCGAAGAAAUGUGCUCCGCGGGACAAAUGGUCUUAAUGUUCUUCGGUCGGAGAACUUCGGACCCCGCGGAAGAAGAAAAUAACUACAUUUGGACUUUGCUCACUAAGGCUCUCAAUGACAUGGCCCUGGAGGUACGUAACCUGUCGAAUAUACGAAAGGCCAUAUUAAUUUGAUACAUUACGAGUACAAACUUUUAACGAAAUAAAUCAUCUUAAUUAUCUUUUCAAUUCUAGGGGAUUAUAAAAGCUUCUGAUGUGGAUUCAUUCAAUCUACCGUAUUAUCAACCUUGCAUGGAAGAAGUGAAGAUGGUCACUCGAGACGAAGGAUCGUUCGACGUCGUGCACGAGCACGUUUUCGAUCUGAAUUGGGAAGCUCUCAGCAACUUGGAUGAGAAAUCCCUCGUCGACAACUUUGCAAGUGCGGAGUUUCUGGCAAAGAUCAUAAGAUCAGUUGCAGAAUCCCUAUUAGCACCUCACUUCGGCAAGGCCAUAAUCGACGAAUUAUUUUCGAGAUUCACAGCAAUAGUUGCGGAGCACAUCAAAAAGGAGAAGGGGAAGUUUGUUAUUUUGAUAGUAUCUGUGAGAAGGAGAGGGUAACUUCUUGAAAGAUGAGGUGCAAAUGAUGAACUUAAUAAGCCUUACUUUUGUCGCCGGUUUUAGUUGUCUAUCACAAUCCAUACUUCAUAUGGCUUGUUUCACUAAUAAUGCACAAUUAAAUAUUGUGCACAAGAUCUUUCUUUCCUUUUUUAAGAAGAAUAUUGUGCAAUGGAGUAACCGUGUUUCCCUUUGUACCAAUUCUCUGUUUUCUGCGUCAAAUUGUAAUCUUAAUUGUUUCCCUUUAUCCCACAAUCAGGAAAAUACGUUCUAAGAUAUUAAUUACCAAGAUGUAACUGUCCCUAAUAAAUGAACCAAGUUUUCGGACUGCAUAAAUUGUGGCUCCGAGAACAAAGGACAUGAGUUCGGCUUAGAAAUGAUGUACGUUAGCAAAACAGAGCCUUUGAAUUUUUCUUUUUUCAAAAACGUUUUCUUUUUUUUUUUAGGCUAAAUUACAGAAAAUUCUACUGUCAAUAUACGAUUUUUUAUUUUUCCUCCGACUUUUAAAAAUUUAUAUUUUAUCUUUUUAAAAAAUAAAAAAUAUUCACUUUGAACUCCACCGUCGGUAUUCCAUUAGAUUCCUUCUAUAUCUUAUAAUAAUAUAUUUGUUUACCCAAAAUAUUCUUGUACCCUUCCUCUCAGCAGCGCCGCCUCCCUCCUCGCUGACAACAUUCUCAGUCGUGCCGCCUUACCCUCCUCGGGCGCCUCACUCUCGCAGAUCCCUCUGUACGUGCUAACACCGAUGCCCUCACGCUCCUCCAGCGUCUCACCCUCGCCCACGUCCGUCCACGCCAACCUCGUCCCCACCCCCACCGUUGCCGAAUGGAGGGGCAGUGGGAGUGUAGGAGGAGCAAAGAGAGCAGGUAGAGUAAGCUGAGUUGGAGCUGGAAUCGAAAGAGGCGCAAAGGAUGGAGGAGGAGAUGUUGCUCAUGAUGCAGGGGAGGAGACGUAGAGGGAGAGGACAAUUUGAUUAUUUUAUCAUCACAAUUAACAUCCUACUCCUGUGAUCAUUUUUUAUUUUUUUAAAAAAUAAAAUAUAGAUUUUUAAAAGUCGGAGAGAGAAAGUGAAAAACAAAUAUUGACAGAAAAUUUUUAUAUAAAUUAGCCUUUUUUUUAACAUACGUUUUUGAUAGUGAUCUAUAUUAUAAACUUAGUCCUCAGCUUCUUGACUAAUGCUGAAAUAGAAAAAAAAGUGGCAAGACAAAUUAAACGGUUAAUUUGAGCCAUUAAACUUCUCUUAUAUUUGUAUUGUGAUCCAAUCUAUUCCAAAUUUUACAGUAUAAUUAGCUAUCUUUUUUAUUUAAAAAUAUGAUAAAUGAUUUUCUUUUUUUUUGUUAAGGGUUUGGAUCAAAAAAAUUUAAAUGAUAGAUUUCGUACUCAUUAGUGGUUUUCAAUGAUAGACCUUCUUAAUCGACGAUUCAUACUGUUAAAUAUUAUUUAAAAUAUUUAAAAUUUUUAGAAAUCAAAUUUUAUAAUUUUUUUAAUAUCAUUUAUCUUAUAAUCAAAAGAUCUUAAAAUUGAUAAUUUUUAACUACCGAUAUGAGAUACUUGUUAGUUUAACAGUUUAAAGAAUCAAAAUCGGUCGCAUUUUUGAUAUAAAAUUUUAUUCACUAUUUAGAUAUAGAUCAAUAACUCUGAUCUUAAAUUGAAGUAUCCGAUCAUUCAUUUUUAGGAUGUCUUUUGAUUUUGACUGUUUAUUUUAUACCCGCUUGAUAGACUUUAUUAUAAUUUAAAAAAAUUAUAAAAUUUAUUUUUUAGAAGUUUUAAAUAAUCUAAAUCAUAUUUAAUAGUGCGGAUCGUUGAUUCGAAAGCUCCAGUUGAAAACAAUUUAUAAAUAUGAAGAGCUCUAUACGCAUCAAACUGUAGAAGGCUUGCUUAGUGUGUAUAAGAGCUUCUAUGCUAUCGGAAGUAUAGAGGAUCUGGUUGUUCCGACUUUUUAGCUCUUAGAUCAACUUCUUAGAUCAUUUUUAACCUUUGGAUUAAUACUAUUAUCUGUAGGGACCACUCAACCCUAGGGGUACUACUCAAUCCUAACUAGGUGGGACCGUAAUCAUCCCAAUCGUACAAUUUUUUAUCAAAGGGUUAAAAAGUCGGAAGCAUAAAACCCUCUAUGCUUCUGAUAGCAUAGUAGCUCUACACUAUAUAUAUAUAUAGAGAGAGAGAGAGAGAGAGAGCGCUAAGCUGGUAUACUAUCGGUAACACGGAGGCCUCCGUGCUACCAAAUUGUUUUCAAUGAUGCGGCUUCUAAAUCGACGAUGGGCUCCGUUAGACUUGAUCUACACUAUUGAAAGUAUUUGGAAACUAAACUUCAUAAUUUUUUGGCAUUAUUUACCUAUCAAACGAGUAGUCUAAAAAUGAACGGCUGAAAAUAAAAAUUUCAUAAAAAAUAAUGAUAAAGAAUUCAUAUUUCAAAUCGGAAGUAUUAGUAUUGCUAUUGAUGUUAAAUAGAAUUUUCUAUUAAAUUUUCAUUUAAUUUUGUUACUUCUACACCGUUGAACUUAAAAACGCAUCAUAUCUGCCAUUAAAAUUGUUAAUUUUGGAACCUUUCGAUCACUAGCCAAAUGAUGUCGAAAAAUUAUGAAAUUUAGUUUCAAAAUACUUUUAAUAGUGUAGAUAAAGUCUAAUGGAGCCAAUCGUCGAUUUGAAAGCCGUAUCAUUGAAAACAACUUGAUAGCACGGAGGCCUCCGUGCUACCGAUAGUAUACCAGUCUAGCUCUCUAUAUAUAUAGAGAGAGAGAGAGUGAGGCUACUAUGCUAUUGGAAACACGGAGCCUUCCGUGCUUCCAGCUCGUUUUCGAUGUUGCGACUUUCGAAUCGUCAAUCGGCUCCGUUAAACUUGAUCUAGAGUAUUUGAAGUACCUAGAAAAUAAAUUUUCUGAUUUUACGAUAUCAUUUGCCUAGUGAACGAAAGGGCUUAAAAUCAACGGCUGAAAAUAAAAAUCUUACAAAAUGUGAUAAUAUGACAUUAAAAUUUUAAAUCAAAGAUAUUAACCUUGUUUUAUAUAGUAUAAAGAAUUUUCUAUCAAAAUUUCACGUAAUUUGGAUAUUUCUACACCGUUAAACUUGC